GACGAACGCUGGCGGCGUGCCUAAUACAUGCAAGUCGAGCGGACCUCUUCGGAGGUCAGCGGCGGACGGGUGAGUAACACGUGGGCAACCUGCCUGUAAGACUGGGAUAACACCGGGAAACCGGUGCUAAUACCGGAUAAUCCUUUUUCUCACAUGAGAAGAAGCUGAAAGACGGUUUCGACUGUCACUUACAGAUGGGCCCGCGGCGCAUUAGCUAGUUGGUGGGGUAACGGCCCACCAAGGCGACGAUGCGUAGCCGACCUGAGAGGGUGAUCGGCCACACUGGGACUGAGACACGGCCCAGACUCCUACGGGAGGCAGCAGUAGGGAAUCUUCCGCAAUGGACGAAAGUCUGACGGAGCAACGCCGCGUGAGCGAAGAAGGCCUUCGGGUCGUAAAGCUCUGUUGUCAGGGAAGAACAAGUGCCGGAGUAACUGCCGGCACCUUGACGGUACCUGACCAGAAAGCCACGGCUAACUACGUGCCAGCAGCCGCGGUAACAC
rnacentral:rRNA from 1 species